rnacentral:lncRNA from 1 species
GCAGACGUAUGAGUCCCAACUCCACCCAGUCCGGCCUGGCCUCUGUCCCCGGGUGACCGCGGAAUGGGGGGGCGGGAGCUAGCGAGCAGGCCCUCAAGCGCGUCUGGCCGCCUCCUUUGUCUUGAUGCCCACGUCUGGUUAGGACCCCUGCUGUCCAUUUUAUUAAAGGAGCUGUAGAAAGCGGCCUGGGGCCCAGCGACCUGCCCAGGGCGGACGAGGAGGCGCGACUGGCCCGAUGCCGCAGGCUCUCUGCCCAGUGUGCUCAG